UACCUGCAGCUCGAGUGGUAACCGCUAUUAUUGGGCCUAAAGCGUCCGUAGCCGGUUUGGUAAAUAUCUGGGUAAAUCGUGAGGCUUAACUUCACGAAUUUCGGAUAGACUGCCAGACUUGGGAUCGGGGGAGGUCAGAGGUACUCCAGGGGUAGCGGUGAAAUGUUGUAAUCCUUGGAGGACCACCGGUAGCGAAGGCGUCUGACUAGAACGAGUCCGACGGUGAGGGACGAAGCCCUGGGGCGCAAACCGGAUUAGAUACCCGGGUAGUCCAGGGUGUAAACAAUGUGGGCUUUGUAUUGGAGGUCCCACGUGGCGUCCAGUGCAGAAGAGAAGUUGUUAAGCCCACCGCCUGGGAAGUACGGUCGCAAGGCUGAAACUUAAAGGAAUUGGCGGGGGAGCACAGCAACGGGAGGAGCGUGUGGUU
rnacentral:rRNA from 1 species